ACUUGAUCUCUUGAUUCAUUCAGCCAGUUCUUUCUGUGCUUUCCGUGGUCCAGCGUGAUUUCUGAAAGAUAACAUCUCAGAAGUGGAAUACAAGGUGGCUAACAAAUUUUUCCAGCAACACAGAGCUGAGAGGAUUGGGAUCUCAGAGAAGAAGGAGCCCUGCAUUCUUGGCUUCAUCUGCCUGGAGUGGAGUUUCCAUCAUGCUGAGCUGGAGGUGCACGGGGCCAGGGAAUGAGCAAGUCGUAGCUCAAAUGUCCCAGACUCUUACUAUUCUUAUUGAAAUUUAGUAGGUUUUCUUGAAUAAAUGUUUCUUCAUCUGCUGUAUGCCCUUAGGACAAUUCCCAGGAACAUACAUCUAUAUUGAUAUCAAUAUAAAUAUAAAUAGAUAAUUAUGUAUGUAUAACUUUAGCAGUUUUACUUGUUCUGCUGGAAAGAAGGUCUGGAAGGUUUGCAGAGCUGCUCAUGCCACCAUUCCAGAAGUUAUCCACCAGUUCAUUGCUUUUUGCACAGUAGUAUUCCAUUGCAUGUCUAUGCCACAAUUUGUUUAUCCAUUCACCUGUUGAUGGACAUUUGAGCUGUUUCCUGUUUGAGGCUAUUACAAAUAAAGCUGCUUUACAAAUAAAGCUGCUUUGAACAUUUGUGUAUAA
ensembl:lncRNA novel transcript